GCCCCGAUGGUGAAAUUGGUAGACACAGCGGACUUAAAAUCCGCCGCUUCCCUUGCAAGAGGGGCGUGCCGGUUCGACCCCGGCUCGGGGCACCA
rnacentral:tRNA from 1 species